CAGUAGCCGCGGGAAAACGGAGGGUGCAAGCGUUAAUCGGAAUUACUGGGCGUAAAGCGCACGCAGGCGGUUUGUUAAGUCAGAUGUGAAAUCCCCGGGCUCAACCUGGGAGCUGCAUCUGAUACUGGCAAGCUUGAGUCUCGUAGAGGGGGGUAGAAUUCCAGGUGUAGCGGUGAAAUGCGUAGAGAUCUGGAGGAAUACCGGUGGCGAAGGCGGCCCCCUGGACGAAGACUGACGCUCAGGUGCGAAAGCGUGGGGAGCAAACAGGAUUAGAUACCCCAGUAGUCCCUGUCUCUUAUAC
rnacentral:rRNA from 1 species